CUAAGGCUGAGACACGACGUCGAGCACCUACGGGUGUGAAGUCAUUGAUGCCAUGCUUCCAGGAAAAGCCUCUAAGCUUCAGAUUGUAAGGAAUCGUACCCCAAACCGACACAGGUGGUCGGGUAGAGAAUACCAAGGCGCUUGAGAGAACUCGGGUGAAGGAACUAGGCAAAAUGGUACCGUAACUUCGGGAGAAGGUACGCUCUCGACGGUGAAGUCCCUCGCGGAUGGAGCUAUU
rnacentral:rRNA from 1 species